rnacentral:rRNA from 1 species
UACGUAGGGACGAGCGUUGUCCGGAAUUACUGGGCGUAAAGGGCGCGCAGGCGGUAUAUCAAGUCAGCUGUCAAAGACUGGGGCUCAACCCUGGUAUGCGGUUGAAACUGAUAUGCUGGAGUGCUGUAGAGGCAAGUGGAAUUCCCAGUGUAGCGGUGAAAUGCAUAGAUAUCACGAGGAACUCCGAUUGCGCAGGCAGCUUACUAGGCCAUAACUGACGCUCAGGCACGAAGGCGUGGGGAUCAAACA